rnacentral:rRNA from 1 species
CAACAGGGAUUGCCUCAGUAACGGCGAGUGAAGCGGCAACAGCUCAAAUUUGAAAUCUGGCGCUUGCGUCCGAGUUGUAAUUUGUAGAAGAUGCUUUUGGUGAGGUUCCUUCCGAGUUCUCUGGAACGAGACGCCUUAGAGGGUGAGAGCCCCGUACGGUUGGAUACCAAGCCUUUGUAAAGCUCUUUCGACGAGUCGAGUAGUUUGGGAAUGCUGCUCUAAAUGGGAGGUAAAUUUCUUCUAAAGCUAAAUACCGGCCAGAGACCGAUAGCGCACAAGUAGAGUGAUCGAAAGAUGAAAAGCACUUUGAAAAGAGGGUUAAAUAGCACGUGAAAUUGUUGAAAGGGAAGGAUUUAUGACCAGACUUUUUCUGGGCGGAUCAUCCGGUGUUCUCACCGGUGCACUUCGCUCAGUUUAGGCCAGCAUCGGUUUCUGUAGGGGGAUAAAGGCAGCGGGAAUGUGGCUCCCUCCGGGGAGUGUUAUAGCCCGUUGUGUAAUACCCUUAUGGGGACCGAGGUACGCGCUUCUGCAAGGAUGCUGGCAUAAUGGUUAUUAAUCACCCGUCUUGAAACACGGACCAAGGAGUCGAACAUUUGUGCGAGUGUUUGGGUGUUAAACCCUCACGCGUAAUGAAAGUGAACGGAGGUGAGAGCCCUUACGGGUGCAUCAUCGACCGAUCCUGAAGUUUUCGGAUGGAUUUGAGUAAGAGCAUAACUGUUCGGACCCGAAAGAUGGUGAACUAUGCGUGGAUAGGGUGAAGCCAGAGGAAACUCUGGUGGAGGCUCGCAGCGGUUCUGACGUGCAAAUCGAUCGUCAAAUCUGCGCAUGGGGGCGAAAGA